rnacentral:misc_RNA from 1 species
UCCGGCUUAUCACCGGCAGUCCUCUUAGAGUCCCCGGCAUUACCCGCUGGCAACUAAGAGCAGGGGUUGCGCUCGUUGCGGCACUUAAGCCAACACCUCACGACACGAGCUGACGACAGCCAUGCAGCACCUGUGCUGGUGUUCCGAAGAAGGGCUCGACUUUCAUCGAGCUUUCACCAGCAUGUCAAACCUAGGUAAGGUUCUUCGCGUUGCUUCGAAUUAAACCACAUGCUCCGCUGCUUGUGCGGGCCCCCGUCAAUUCCUUUGAGUUUUAGCCUUGCGGCCGUACUCCCCAGGCGGCAUACUUAACGCGUUAGCUCCGGCACGAACCAACUGAAUGGCUCACACCAAGUAUGCAUCGUUUAGGGCGUGGACUAC